GAUGAACGCUAGCGACAGGCCUAACACAUGCAAGUCGAGGGGCAGCAUGAAAUUAGCUUGCUAAUUUUGAUGGCGACCGGCGCACGGGUGAGUAACACGUAUGCAACCUGCCUGUAAGCGGGGGAUAACCCGGAGAAAUUCGGACUAAUACCGCAUAAUAUCAUUAAUUCGCAUGUUUUAAUGAUUAAAAAUUUAUUGCUUACAGAUGGGCAUGCGUAUGAUUAGCUAGUUGGCGUGGUAACGGCCCACCAAGGCGACGAUCAUUAGGGGUUCUGAGACGAACGUACCCCACAUUGGAAAUGAGACACAGUCCAAAAUCCUACGGGAGGCAGCAGUGAGGAAAAUUGGUCAAUGGACGAAGGUCUGAACCAGCCAUGUCGCGUGAAGGAUGACUGUCCUAUGGAUUGUAAACUUCUUUUAUAUGGGCAUAAAGUGUGAGACUUGUCUCAUUUUGCAUGUAACAUAUGAAUAAGCAUCGGCUAACUCCGUGCCAGCCGCCGCCGUAAUAC
rnacentral:rRNA from 1 species